GUGAGCAACCUGCCUUUCAGUGGGGGACAACAUUUGGAAACGAAUGCUAAUACCGCAUAAGACCACAGUGUCGCAUGGCACAGGGGUCAAAGGAUUUAUCCGCUGAAAGAUGGGCUCGCGUCCGAUUAGCUAGAUGGUGAGGUAACGGCCCACCAUGGCGACGAUCAGUAGCCGGACUGAGAGGUUGAACGGCCACAUUGGGACUGAGACACGGCCCAGACUCCUACGGGAGGCAGCAUG
rnacentral:rRNA from 1 species